rnacentral:tRNA from 1 species
GGAGCCGUAGCGCAGAGGUCGUCGCGCGCGGUCCCCAAAACCGCGAGGACACCGGUUCGAAUCCGGUCGGCUCCG